AUGCAGGCUGUUCUUCUGCUCUUACUGCUGGCUGGAGCCUCCAAAGGUCUGGACUCCACCUGUAAUGCUACUCAGGAUGCUGCUUGUUAUGGGGCUCUGGGAGGACCUGUGUAUCUGCAGCUGAUGAGGAACACCAGUGGGCAUGCACUGUUAUUUAAUAAUGAACAGAACUUAAUUUUUGGUCUCAUAGGAUCCAAGACAGUGUUCUUUGAUGAGUUUAACACCCCAACAUUCCUUCAGAGGUGGCAGUUUGUUCCUGAUAACGGGACCCUAAUUAUAAACCCUGCAGAGAGGAGAGACGGAGGAACAUACAGAGUGGAGAUCUAUAAGUCAACUGUGGGAUAUCACACAGUACAGCUGAUCGUUAAAGCUCCUGUGUCUGUUUUGAAUCUGUCAAUCAGCUGCUCAGCCUAUGGGGAGAAGAGGGUGAGUUGCUCUUCCAAUGGGGACAGUCCUCAAUACAGCUGGUCUGUGGAUGGAAGGCCUCUGAAGCCACCUGAAGCAUCUCCCAAGGGUUCAACUGAAAGGCUGGAGUCUAGUCCUGAUCUUGACACUGAUCUCAGUUCAUCUACCCUCACACUCCCAGAGGGCAUUCAAGGACAUCUCACCUGCUCAGCUAGAAACAACAUCAGCAGAGCCAACGAAACACAACUACUUCCCUCCUGCACAAGUAAGGUCCAGACACACGACAGAGAGGGUUUAGAGUUUGUGUGUGUGUGUCUGUAUGUGUAUGUUGGCUUAUCUUAGUUGCUUUAAAUUCCAACUCAUUCUUUUUUCAAUUGUCACCUGCCU
rnacentral:lncRNA from 1 species